UUAUCCUUCUGUGCCUAUCUUUGCCCUGAUUGAUGAGGCCACAACAAUUUUUUAUUUUCUUCUUCGAUGAUGACGACUUUUAUACGCCAAUGGAGUCUCGGAAGCAACCGCUGUUUUUUUAAUGAGGUCACCCCGUGUGUCUUUUUUUUUUUUUUUAGAAGCCGAAUCAUUGGCUGCCAUCCAUCUCGUCAUUGAAUCCAUGUCCGCUGGCCCGAUACGUCAACGUCAAUAGACACAACAACAUGGAAGAGUAUGCAUCAUCCAUCACCAGUGGUGCGCCAUCAACCGUAAACAUUGAACAGCUCUAUACGGAAAAUAUUAAAGAAAAAAAAAAGAAAAGUAAGAAAACAAAAAC